rnacentral:rRNA from 1 species
CCUACGGGAGGCAGCAGUGGGGAAUUUUGGACAAUGGGGGCAACCCUGAUCCAGCAAUGCCGCGUGAGUGAAGAAGGCCUUCGGGUUGUAAAGCUCUUUUGUCAGGGAAGAAACGGUGAUCUCUAAUACAGAUUACUAAUGACGGUACCUGAAGAAUAAGCACCGGCUAACUACGUGCCAGCAGCCGCGGUAAUACGUAGGGUGCAAGCGUUAAUCGGAAUUACUGGGCGUAAAGCGUGCGCAGGCGGUUAUAUAAGUCAGAUGUGAAAUCCCCGGGCUCAACCUGGGAACUGCAUUUGAGACUGUAUGGCUAGAGUGUGUCAGAGGGGGGUAGAAUUCCACGUGUAGCAGUGAAAUGCGUAGAUAUGUGGAGGAAUACCGAUGGCGAAGGCAGCCCCCUGGGAUAACACUGACGCUCAUGCACGAAAGCGUGGGGAGCAAACAGGAUUAGAUACCCUGGUAGUCCACGCCCUAAACGAUGUCUACUAGUUGUCGGGUCUUAAUUGACUUGGUAACGCAGCUACGCGUGAGUAGACGCCGUCGGGUAGGUACGGUCGCGAGAAGUUAAACGUUAAACGGUAAAGUUAGUACGGCGUGAGACGUGACGACGGACGACGACGAGGGAGGAGG